rnacentral:snRNA from 1 species
AAACCUGGCAAAGGUGUAACAUCCAUCACCCGCAUUGAUCACUAGGGUUGAUUCUACUGAUGUGGCCAGCAAGGUGGGUGUCCCUGUCCUGCUUCACUGCUCCAUGUGUGUACCUUAGAAGUGGCUACGGUGGAUGAAUUUCCCCAAUAGAACCUCCAAACAAGCUCUCAGGGCAUAAAAUGGGAUAAACUAAAACUUGAAGAGGAUAAGGAAUUGCCUGUGGUGCUAAACCAACCUGAUACUUACCUCACCUCUCUGU